rnacentral:rRNA from 1 species
GACGAACGCUGGCGGCGUGCUUAACACAUGCAAGUCGAACGGAAAGGCCCUGCUUUUGUGGGGUGCUCGAGUGGCGAACGGGUGAGUAACACGUGAGUAACCUGCCCUUGACUUUGGGAUAACUUCAGGAAACUGGGGCUAAUACCGGAUAGGAGCUCCUGCUGCAUGGUGGGGGUUGGAAAGUUUCGGUGGUUGGGGAUGGACUCGCGGCUUAUCAGCUUGUUGGUGGGGUAGUGGCUUACCAAGGCUUUGACGGGUAGCCGGCCUGAGAGGGUGACCGGCCACAUUAGGACUGGGAUGCGGCCCAGACUCCUACGGGAGGCAGCAGUGGGGAAUAUUGCACAAUGGGCGGAAGCCUGAUGCAGCAACGCCGCGUGCGGGAUGACGGCCUUCGGGUUGUAAGCCGCUUUCGCCUGUGACGAAGCGUGAGUGACGGUAAUGGGUAAAGAAGCACCGGCUAACUACGUG